AUUGAACGCUGGCGGCAGGCCUAACACAUGCAAGUCGAGCGAGCGGCGGACGGGUGAGUAAUGUAUGGGGACUGCCCGAUAGAGGGGGAUAACUACUGGAAACGGUGGCUAAUACCGCAUACUAUCGGAUAACCCAUAUGGUAUUAGCUAGUAGGUGGGGUAAAGGCUCACCUAGGCGACGAUCUCUAGCUGGUCUGAGAGGAUGAUCAGCCAGACUGGGACUGAGACACGGCCCAGAGUCCAACGGAGGCAGCAGUGGGGAAUAUUGCACAAGGGGCGCAAGCCUGAUGCAGACAUGCGGCGUGUAUGAAGAAGGCCUUAGGGUUGUAAAGUACUUUCAGCGGGGAGGCGUUAGAGGAAGAAGAAGCACCGGCUAACUCCGUGCCAGCAGCCGCGGUAAUUG
rnacentral:rRNA from 1 species